rnacentral:rRNA from 1 species
ACUCCUACGGGAGGCAGCAGUGGGGAAUAUUGCACAAUGGGGGAAACCCUGAUGCAGCCAUGCCGCGUGUGUGAAGAAGGCCUUCGGGUUGUAAAGCACUUUCAGUAGGGAGGAAGGUAGUGUAGUUAACACCUGCAUUAUUUGACGUUACCUACAGAAGAAGCACCGGCUAAUUCCGUGCCAGCAGCCGCGGUAAUACGGAGGGUGCGAGCGUUAAUCGGAAUUACUGGGCGUAAAGCGCAUGCAGGCGGCCUGUUAAGUCAGAUGUGAAAGCCCGGGGCUUAACCUCGGAAUUGCAUUUGAAACUGGCAGGCUAGAGUCUUGUAGAGGGGGGUAGAAUUUCAGGUGUAGCGGUGAAAUGCGUAGAGAUCUGAAGGAUACCAGUGGCGAAGGCGGCCCCCUGGACAAAGACUGACGCUCAGAUGCGAAAAGCGUGGGGAGCAAACAGGAUUAGAUACCCUGGUA